rnacentral:rRNA from 1 species
AACGAACGCUGGCGGCAUGCCUAACACAUGCAAGUCGAACGAGACCUUCGUGUCUAGUGGCGCACGGGUGCGUAACGCGUGGGAAUCUGCCCUUGGGUUCGGAAUAACAGUUGUAAACGACUGCUAAUACCGGAUGAUGACGUAAGUCCAAAGAUUUAUCGCCCAAGGAUGAGCCCGCGUAGGAUUAGCUAGUUGGUGAGGUAAAGGCUCACCAAGGCGACGAUCCUUAGCUGGUCUGAGAGGAUGAUCAGCCACACUGGGACUGAGACACGGCCCAGACUACUACGGGAUGCAGCAGUGGGUAAUCUUGGAAUAUGGGCGAGAGCCUGAUCCAGCAAUGCCGCGUGAGUGAUGAAGGCCUUAGGGUUGUAAAGCUCGUUUACACGGGAUGAUAAUGACAGUACCGGGAGAAUAAGCUCCGGCUAACUCCGUG